rnacentral:rRNA from 1 species
CAAUAGCGUAUAUUAACGUUGUUGCAGUUAAAAAGCUCGAAGUUGGAUUUCUGGAGGGAGCGUCGGCCCGUAUUUACGAGUGCGUGACGUCUCUGUCCAUCCUUGCGGGAAGGCACGGCAUUGAUUUGUUGUGUCGGAUCGCAUCAUUUACUGUGAAAAAAUUAGAGUGUUCAAAGCAGGCUUUCGCUUGAAUACAUUAGCAUGGAAUAAUAAGAUAGGACUUUGGUGCUAUUUUGUUGGUUGAGCCUAAAGUAAUGAUUAAUAGGGAUAGUUGGGGGCACCUGUAUUGCGUUGUCAGAGGUGAAAUUCUUGGAUUUACGCAAGACAAACAGCUGCGAAAGCGUCUGCCAAGGAUGUUUUCAUUAA